GACGAACGCUGGCGGCGUGCUUAACACAUGCAAGUCGAACGGAAAGGCCCUGCGUUUGUGGGGUGCUCGAGUGGCGAACGGGUGUGUAACACGUGAGGAACCUGCACUUGAAUUUGGGAUAACUUCAGGAAACUGGGGCUAAUACCGGAUAGGAGCUCCUGCUGCAUGGUGUGGGUUGGAAAGAUUCGGCGGUAGGGGAUGGACUCGCGGCUUAUCCGCUGGAUGGUGGGGUAGUGGCGUACCCAGGCUUUGACGGGUAGGCGGCCUGAGAGGUUGACCGGCCACAAUGGGACUGAGAGACGGCCCAGAAUGCUACGGGAGGCAGCAGUGGGGAAUAUUGCACAACGGGCGGAAGUCAGAUGCAGCAACGCUGCGUGCGUGAUGCCGGCCUUCUGGGUGUAAACCACUUUCGACUGUGAUGUAGCGUGCUUGACGGUAAUGGGUAAAGAAGCCCCGGCUAACUACGUG
rnacentral:rRNA from 1 species